ACGAACGCUGGCGGCAUGCCUAACACAUGCAAGUCGAACGAGACCUUCGGGUCUAGUGGCGCACGGGUGCGUAACGCGUGGGAAUCUGCCCUUGGGUUCGGGAUAACAGUUGGAAACGACUGCUAAUACCGGAUGAUGACUUCGGUCCAAAGAUUUAUCGCCCAGGGAUGAGCCCGCGUAGGAUUAGCUUGUUGGUGAGGUAAGAGCUCACCAAGGCGACGAUCCUUAGCUGGUCUGAGAGGAUGAUCAGCCACACUGGGACUGAGACACGGCCCAGACUCCUACGGGAGGCAGCAGUGGGGAAUAUUGGACAAUGGGCGAAAGCCUGAUCCAGCAAUGCCGCGUGAGUGAUGAAGGCCUUAGGGUUGUAAAGCUCUUUUACCCGGGAAGAUAAUGACUGUACCGGGAGAAUAAGCCCCGGCUAACUCCGU
rnacentral:rRNA from 1 species